rnacentral:rRNA from 1 species
GAGGCCGGUGACUAGAGCGGAGGGGAUCACCCGUUCCCAUCCCGAACACGGUCGUUAAGCCUUCCAGCCCCGACGAUACUGCAGGGGCAGCCCUGUGGGACAAUAGGACGUUGCCGGUCUCC